CCUACGGGUGGCUGCAGUGGGGAAUAUUGGACAAUGGGCGAAAGCCUGAUCCAGCCAUGCCGCGUGUGUGAAGAAGGCCUUCGGGUUGUAAAGCACUUUCAGUGGGGAAGAAAGCCUUGGGGCUAAUACCCUCGAGGAAGGACAUCACCCACAGAAGAAGCACCGGCUAACUCCGUGCCAGCAGCCGCGGUAAUACGGAGGGUGCGAGCGUUAAUCGGAAUUACUGGGCGUAAAGCGCGCGUAGGCGGUCUGAUAAGCCGGUUGUGAAAGCCCCGGGCUCAACCUGGGAACGGCACCCGGAACUGUCAGGCUAGAGUGCAGGAGAGGAAGGUAGAAUUCCCGGUGUAGCGGUGAAAUGCGUAGAGAUCGGGAGGAAUACCAGUGGCGAAGGCGGCCUUCUGGACUGACACUGACGCUGAGGUGCGAAAGCGUGGGUAGCAAACAGGAUUAGAUACCCUGGUAGUC
rnacentral:rRNA from 1 species